AUUGAACGCUGGCGGCAGGCUUAACACAUGCAAGUCGAGCGAGCGGCGGACGGGUGAGUAAUGUCUGGGAAACUGCCUGAUGGAGGGGGAUAACUACUGGAAACGGUAGCUAAUACCGCAUACCAUCAGAUGUGCCCAGAUGGGAUUAGCUAGUAGGUGGGGUAAUGGCUCACCUAGGCGACGAUCCCUAGCUGGUCUGAGAGGAUGACCAGCCACACUGGAGCUCUGCCACGGUCCAGACGCCUACGGGCGGCAGCAGUGGGGAAUAUGGCACGAGGGGGUCAAGCCUGAUGCGUCCAUGCCGGGUGUGUGAAGAAGUCCUUCGGGUUGUAAAGCACUUUCAGCGAGGAGGCUUUACUCGCAGAAGAAUCACCUGCUAACUCCGGGCCUGCCGCCGCGGUAAUAC
rnacentral:rRNA from 1 species